AUUGAACGCUGGCGGCAUGCUUUACACAUGCAAGUCGAACGGUAACAGGCCGCAAGGUGCUGACGAGUGGCGAACGGGUGAGUAAUGCAUCGGAACGUGCCCAGUCGUGGGGGAUAACGCAGCGAAAGCUGCGCUAAUACCGCAUACGAUCUAUGGAUGAAAGCGGGGGACCGAAAGGCCUCGCGCGAUUGGAGCGGCCGAUGUCAGAUUAGGUAGUUGGUGGGGUAAAGGCCCACCAAGCCAACGAUCUGUAGCUGGUCUGAGAGGACGACCAGCAACACUGGGACGGAGACACGGCCCAGCCUCCUACGGGAGGCAGCAGUGGGGAAUUUUGGACAAUGGGCGCAAGCCUGAUCCAGCAAUGCCGCGUGCAGGAAGAAGGCCUUCGGGUUGUAAACUGCUUUUGUACGGAACGAAACGGUCCGGGUUAAUACCCUGGGCUAAUGACGGUACCGUAAGAAUAAGCACCGGCUAACUACGUGCCAGCCGCCGCCGUAACAC
rnacentral:rRNA from 1 species